rnacentral:rRNA from 1 species
CAAAGGAAUUGACGGGGGCCCGCACAAGCGGUGGAGCAUGUGGUUUAAUUCGAAGCAACGCGAAGAACCUUACCAGGUCUUGACAUCCUCUGAAAACCCUAGAGAUAGGGAUUCUCUUUCGGGAGCAGAGAGACAGGUGGUGCAUGGUUGUCGUCAGCUCGUGUCGUGAGAUGUUGGGUUAAGUCCCGCAACGAGCGCAACCCAUGAUCUUAGUUGCCAUCAUUAAGUUGGGCACUAUAAGGUGACUGCCGGUGACAAACCGGAGGAAGGUGGGGAUGAGGUCAAAUCAUCAUGCCCCUUAUGACCUGGGCUACACACGUGCUACAAUGGACGGUACAAAGAGCUGCAAGACCGCGAGGUGGAGCUAAUCUCAUAAAACCGUUCUCAGUUCGGAUUGUAGGCUGCAAUUCGCCUACAGAAGCUGGAAUCAAAAAUCAUCGCAAUCACCAGCCCGGAACCCGCUUGGCGUAAGCAACG